rnacentral:ncRNA from 1 species
AAACGAAAAAGGCAAAUCUGAGGAAACUCAGAGACGCAAAGCUAUAGGGGCUAAAUUGUGAAAACAAUAUGCCAGCCAGUUACCGAA